UCCUGGGAUAGCUCAGUCAGUAGAGCAUGAGAAUCUCAGAUCGUGGGUUCAAACCCCACACUGGGCA